rnacentral:rRNA from 1 species
UACGUAGGGUGCAAGCGUUGUCCGGAAUUAUUGGGCGUAAAGAGCUCGUAGGCGGUUUGUCGCGUCUGCUGUGAAAACGCAAGGCUCAACCUUGCGCCUGCAGUGGGUACGGGCAGACUAGAGUGUGGUAGGGGAGAUUGGAAUUCCUGGUGUAGCGGUGAAAUGCGUAGAUAUCUGGAGGAACACCGGUGGCGAAGGCGGCAUCCUGGACCGGUAUUGACGCUGAGGCGCGAAAGCUAGGGGAGCAAACGGG